UACGAAGGGGGCUAGCGUUGCUCGGAAUCACUGGGCGUAAAGGGUGCGUAGGCGGGUCUUUAAGUCAGGGGUGAAAUCCUGGAGCUCAACUCCAGAACUGCCUUUGAUACUGGGAUCUUGAGUUCGGGAGAGGUGAGUGGAACUGCGAGUGUAGAGGUGAAAUUCGUAGAUAUUCGGAAGAACACCAGUGGCGAAGGCGACACACUGGCCCAUUACUGACGCUGAGGCUCGAAAGCGUGGGGAGCAAACAGG
rnacentral:rRNA from 1 species